rnacentral:misc_RNA from 1 species
GUACUCAUCUACUUCACUAUAAACAAAGAAUCAUCAUACCGGAUUUCUGUCCAUGGAGGGAAAAAAAAAAUGUGGGUAACAUUUGCUUCAUCUACAAUUCUAAAUUGGAAUUGCUGUUUUAAUGGAUUGGACUUGGAGGGUAUAACGGAAUACAAGAAAAAAAUAAAGGAAUUACAUUACAUGAUUAAGAUAGAAACGAGCACCAUGGAGAACGUAAUAAAACAGAAUCCUGUGGGAAAGCAUAUAUCCGACAUAAUUGCAUUCUUACUUCUCCCAAAAAAAAAAAAAAAAUAUUUACACACCUGGUCUUUAUUGUGAUCUGAUUGGUCUGUGUACCGGUGAUGCAUAACCAUUUUGCUAUAUAAUAUCUUCCUAUUCAAGCUGUGUAAACAAGUUCCACAAAAAUGAACUAAUAUCUCAAUAUAAUAAAUGGCAAAGUUAUCCCAGGGUCACCUGCGCACUGGCUGCCUCCAUCAAACCAUUGCGUAUUUGCUCACUAACAUCUCUAACAUGACCAGGGCCAUGGGGAAUGAAGACAGUAGUGUUCUUAGACGAGUUUCCAAGGUCUUUGAUCGUAUCAAAGUAUUGGGUGACCAUGAUGAGGUCCAUCACCUCCUUAGCAGUGGUGCCCUCCACCUUGUGAGAAAAAUUCAAUAUGUUCUCUCUCAAACCAUCUGUGAUUGCCUGCCUCUGCCUCGCCACACCAACCCCACCAAGGUACUUGGCUUCAGCAUCAGCUUCUGCCUUUUUUACUUGAAGCACCUUUUCUGCUUCCCCUUUGUACACACUAGCAAGCUGAAGCCUUUGAGCUGCAUUAAUUUCAUUCAUUGCCUUUCGCACAGAGGCAUCAGGUACAAUGUCAACCAUCAGGAUGUGUUCUAUGCUAUAUCCAUAAGCUCCCAUCACCUUCUCAAGUUCCUCCAAGACAGCUUUAGCAACUUCACCUUUCUGUUCAAAGAGUUCAUCCAGAGUCAUUCUUGGAACAAGAGCUCGAGCCACAUCAAACACAUAAGCCUGAAUCUGCUCUUUGGGGUUUGCCAACUCGUAAAAUGCAUCAUCAGCAUUUUCCUUGACUACCCGAUAUUGAAUUGAGCACAACAAUUGCACAAAGACAUUGUCCUUGGUCUUGGUUUCGAUGCGGACAUCGAGAGAGCUGAUUCUGGUGGAAAGGAUGCCGGCCAGACACUGACCGGCCAAGGGGUUAAAGAAAUGGAGUCCGGGCUCAGCCAAUUUCUCGAAGCGGCCCCACCUUUCGACGAUGCCUAUGUUGGCCUGGUCUACGCAUCCACAUAACAAACACCAGGAGUUGCCCAUUUCGAUUGAUCAGAAUUUCUCUCUCUCCAAUUCCCUGCGCUGCGAAGAAAGAUUCAAGUAGAAGCGAAUUCAAGGGACUGAAGCGACGCCGAUAUUCGCAAGCCACAGGGAAAACAAAAACGGCCUUUCCUUGCCAUGGGCUUUUUCUGUCGUUU